GAUGAACGCUAGCGACAGGCUUAACACAUGCAAGUCGAGGGCAGCACAGGUAGCAAUACCGGGUGGCGACCGGCGCACGGGUGAGUAACGCGUAUGCAACUUGCCUAUCAGAGGGGGAUAACCCGGCGAAAGUCGGACUAAUACCGCAUGAAGCAGGGAUCCCGCAUGGGAAUAUUUGCUAAAGAUUCAUCGCUGAUAGAUAGGCAUGCGUUCCAUUAGGCAGUUGGCGGGGUAACGGCCCNCCAAACCGACGAUGGAUAGGGGUUCUGAGAGGAAGGGUCCCCCACAUUGGUACUGAGACACGGCCAAACUCCUACGGGAGGCAGCAGUGAGGAAUAUU
rnacentral:rRNA from 1 species